rnacentral:lncRNA from 1 species
AGGAAAGGAUAAAGCUAGAUAAGACAGAAAGUGCUCAUUUGGCAUCCUCUUCUAAGGCAACUGAGAAGAGGAAAGGUAAGGAAGUUGCGGUUGCAAAGCCUAAGAUUAAGCAACAUAAGGAACCUAAAGUUGAAAUUACUGAAUUAGGUUGCUUCUUCUGUAAGAGGACUAAUCAUGUGAAGAAAGAUUGUACCAAGUACCAUGCCUGGCGUGCGAAA